rnacentral:tRNA from 1 species
GCCCUGGUAGCUCAUCUGGUAGAGCAAUUGCCUCGUAAGCAAUAGGUGGUGGGUUCAAGUCCCAUCCAGGGCU